rnacentral:lncRNA from 1 species
GCCUUGCUGUCCCAUCAAUAACGGCCAGGGUGACAAGGCUGAAGGGGGCACAGUGCAGACCCCUGGCCUGAGGCCUGUCCUCCCGAUCAGCCAACAAUGCCCACAGCUUGGGCCCUACCCGGCCUGGCAGCCCCCCAAACGUCACACACACACACAGCUCAUCCAAAACAGCUCCCUCUUCCCAUUCUCUUGCUUGGUUUCUCAAACAAAGCCACAAUUUCACUCUCUUGUCCUUCCUCUAUUUUAGCAAUCUGGCACUUUAGAGCAGGGGAUACAUUCACAGCAUGGGAAAGCGGGAGGCAUGGUAUCUCUUUCUCACUCUCUCUUUCUCGUUCCCUCCGUGCAGCUACAGGUCUCUAUAGUAUGUUAUGUACCGGCAGGUAUCAUUCCCUCCGGAUCUCCCCCCACCUAGAAGAGAGUUGCCAGGACUGGUUCAUCUCUGCCUGCCAGACAGCCAUGUCUCUCUCACCACGCCACAUCUGGCCUAAAACCCCCACCUCCCUCCUUCUCUACCUCUCCCUCUCCCUCAUACAGACCCUGCAGCCUUGCUUCUCAUCAAUUACGUCUCUGAUGUGGAAACACACGACGGACUAUUUAAACGAGAAGUGGCUUCAUCCCUCCAUCCAUCUCUGACGGAGGAAAAGAGCGGAGGAGGAGGCGUGCAAGGAGAACAACGGGCGAGAGUGUCAGAAGACAUCAAACAAUGAAUCAGUCUGAAAUCUAUGAUCUCCAGCUGCUCCAGCUGUUGCUGGGACUCAGAGCAAAAGAGAGAGGAAACACCAACAAUAGGAAAACAGCGGCAUCAGAUUAUACAGGGAUGGAAGUGCUUGGCGUUGCAAACACAGAUUUUGUCGGUUGGUGGUGUGUUGAUGAGGGAUCAGGUCUGGUGAAAAUGGCUGGGCUGCUGGUGUGGUGCAGAUAGGGUUGAGACUGAUAUACAGGUGUGACUGAGUACAGGGGAAAGCAGGCAUGGACAUGAGUAAGAGGGUUUCAAGGAAUAUUUACUGUUGAUAGUGUUGAAGCUUUGAGUCAUGGCUGGAAGCGUUGGACUUAAACAGUGUAGGCUAGUUCAAAGAAUUAUGUGGUUAUUCAAGUAUAUGUACUGAA